rnacentral:rRNA from 1 species
CCUACGGGAGGCUGCAGUGGGGGAUAUUGCACAAUGGGGGGAACCCUGACGCAGCGACGCCGCGUGGGUGAAGGAGUGCUUCGGCAUGUAAAGCCCUAUCGGCAGGGAAGAAGCAAGACGGUACCUGACUAAGAAGCCCCGGCUAACUACGUGCCAGCAGCCGCGGUAAUACGUAGGGGGCGAGCGUUAUCCGGAUUCACUGGGUUUAAAGGGUGCGUAGGCUGUGAGGUAAGUCAGCGGUGAAAUGCCCCCGCUCAACGGGGGGAAGUGCCAUUGAUACUGCCUUGCUGGAAUGCGGAUGCGGUAGGAGGAAUGUGUGGUGUAGCGGUGAAAUGCAUAGAUAUCACGCAGAACACCGAUUGCGAAGGCAUCUCACGGAUCCGCGAUUGACGCUGAUGCACGAAAGCGUGGGGAUCAAACAGGAUUAGAUACCCCAGUAGUC